GGGGGGGGGGGGGGGGGGGGGGGGCGGGGGCGGGUCGGGGGGGGGGGGCGGGGGGGGGGGCGGGCGGGGGGGUGGCGCGGGGGGACGGGCCUGUGGGGGCGGAAGAACGCAGGGGAACUGGUGCUAAUACCGAAGGUGCCCUGCGGGGGAAAGGUGAAUCGCCUUUAGGGCGGCCCGCGUCUGAUUAGCUAGUUGGUUGAGGUAAUGGCUCACCAAGGCGACGAUCAGUAGCUGGUCUGAGAGGAGGAUCAGCCACAUUGGGACUGAGACACGGCCCAAACUCCUACGGGAGGCAGCAGUGGGGAAUCUUGCGCAAUGGGCGAAAGCCUGACGCAGCCAUGCCGCGUGAAUGAUGAAGGUCUUAGGAUUGUAAAAUUCUUUCACCGGGGACGAUAAUGACGGUACCCGGAGAAGAAGCCCCGGCUAACUUCGUG
rnacentral:rRNA from 1 species